CCCUUAGAUGUUCUGGGCCGCACGCGCGCUACACUGAUGCAUUCAACGAGUCUAAAACCUGCUCUGAUAGGGGUGGGUAAUCUUUUGAAUGUGCAUCGUGAUUGGGAUAGAUGAUUGCAAUUUUUCAUCUUCAACGAGGAAUGCCUAGUAAACGCAAGCCAUCAGCUUGCAUUGAUUACGUCCCUGCCCUUUGUACACACCGCCCGUCGCUCCUACCGAUUGAAUGAUCCGAUGAAUAUCAUGGAUUGAGGAUGCAAGUAGGUUCACCUAUCUUCAUCUUCGAGAAGUGAAGUAAAUCUUAUCAUUUAGAGGAAGGAGAAGUCGUAACA
rnacentral:rRNA from 1 species